rnacentral:rRNA from 1 species
UACGUAGGGUGCAAGCGUUGUCCGGAAUUAUUGGGCGUAAAGAGCUCGUAGGCGGUCUGUCGCGUCUGCUGUGAAAACUCGGGGCUUAACCCCGGGCCUGCAGUGGGUACGGGCAGACUAGAGUGCGGUAGGGGAGACUGGAAUUCCUGGUGUAGCGGUGAAAUGCGCAGAUAUCAGGAGGAACACCGGUGGCGAAGGCGGGUCUCUGGGCCGUAACUGACGCUGAGGAGCGAAAGCCAGGGAGCAAACGGG